rnacentral:rRNA from 1 species
GACGAACGCUGGCGGCGUGCUUAACACAUGCAAGUCGAACGGUGAUCUUGAGAGCUUGCUCUUGGGUGAUCAGUGGCGAACGGGUGAGUAACACAUGAGUAACCUGCCCCUGACUCUGGAAUAACUUCGGGAAACCGAAGCUAAUACCGGAUAUGACACAGAGCCGCAUGGUUUCUGUGUGGAAAGUUUUUCGGUUGGGGAUGGACUCGCGGCCUAUCAGCUUGUUGGUGAGGUAAUGGCUCACCAAGGCGACGACGGGUAGCCGGCCUGAGAGGGCGACCGGCCACACUGGGACUGAGACACGGCCCAGACUCCUACGGGAGGCAGCAGUGGGGAAUAUUGCACAAUGGGCGAAAGCCUGAUGCAGCGACGCCGCGUGAGGGAUGAAGGCCUCGGUUGUAACCGUACUUCUAGUAGGGAAGGAAGACGCAAGUAGACGGUACCGUACACGAAGAAGACACCGGCGUAACUACGUAGCCACGCAGCCGCGGUAACGACGAG